CCCCUAGACGUUCUGGGCUGCACGCGCGCUACAAUAAUACGCACAGCGAGUAUCACCGAGCUCGAAAGGGCAAGGUAAACAAUAGAAAAGGUACUGUAAUGGUUAUAGAUCCUUGUAAUUAUUGAUCUUCAACGAGGAAUUCCUAGUAAGUAUGUGUCAUCAUCACGCACUGAUUACGUCCCUGCCCUUUGUACACACCGCCCGUCGCUCCUACCGAUUGAAUGCUCAGGUGAGCCAUUCGGACUUUCAUCAUGCUGGUUUCCAGUUUUGAUGAAGGAAGGUCUUGCGAACCUUAUCAUUUAGAGGAAGGAGAAGUCGUAACA
rnacentral:rRNA from 1 species